rnacentral:rRNA from 1 species
UACAGAGGUCUCAAGCGUUGUUCGGAUUCAUUGGGCGUAAAGGGUGCGUAGGUGGUGGGGUAAGUCGGAUGUGAAAUCCCGGGGCUCAACCCCGGAACUGCAUUCGAUACUGCCUUGCUCGAGUACUGGAGAGGAGACUGGAAUUAACGGUGUAGCAGUGAAAUGCGUAGAUAUCGUAAGGAAGACCAGUGGCGAAGGCGAGUCUCUGGACAGUUACUGACACUGAGGCACGAAGGCCAGGGGAGCAAACGGG